rnacentral:misc_RNA from 1 species
GGGAAGUGGCGCCAAUGAGUUCAAUCCCUACCGUUUUCUAUCAAUGGCUUGUAAUGGGACUGAUACAAGUCAGCGGACAUCACUUGCAGGUGAAAAUGCUGGGGAUCAAGGAGAGAGCUCAUUUGUUUUGAACGAGCCAACUGGCAAUGUCGGGUUUCUUCCCUUUGGCUUUGGUGCACGUUCCUGUGUUGGUCAGAAAUUUAUUAUACAGGGAUUAGCAACAUUAUUUGCUUCAUUGCUCGCAAACUACGAGAUAAAGCUUCAGUCAGAAUCUAAGACCGACUCAAAGUCGUCGUCGAACCACUCUGCAGCUCAAAUCCUUCCGAAUUCGAAGAUAGUCUUCGUAAGGAGGAACAGCUGAAGUACAGGUAGCUAAAAGCUCACACUCCCAUGUAAUGUGUGUAUUUCAGGUCAAUUUACUAGAUUUUAUCUAAAUCGUUUUUAUGGGGAAGUUCUGUAUCUUUUUCCCCGACUCAUCGGAGGUUGAAUGGGAGGUUGAGACA